rnacentral:rRNA from 1 species
CAGAGGGGGCAAGCGUUGUUCGGAAUUACUGGGCGUAAAGGGCGCGUAGGCGGCCUGCUAAGUCGAACGUGAAAUCCCCGGGCUCAACCCGGGAACUGCGUCCGAUACUGGUUGGCUUGAAUCCGGGAGAGGGAUGUGGAAUUCCAGGUGUAGCGGUGAAAUGCGUAGAUAUCUGGAGGAACACCGGUGGCGAAGGCGGCAUCCUGGACCGGUAUUGACGCUGAGGCGCGAAAGCCAGGGGAGCAAACGGGAUUAGAUACCCCGGUAGUCCUGGCCCUAAACGAUGAAUGCUUGGUGUGGCGGGUAUCGAUCACUGCCGUGCCGAAGCUAACGCAUUAAGCAUUCCGCCUGGGGAGUACGGUCGCAAGGCUG